AAGAUACAAUGAUUGUCCUAAAAGGCACUGCCAUUUAGAAAUUGAAUUAGGAAAUAUGGUAAACAACUACGUUUCCUCUGUUCAGAAAGCGUUUCUUGUGCUUCUUCCUUCUCAUUGUCUUCUUGGAUUUUUGAUGACAAAUCUUGAUGCAAAGUAUUUUCGUUCAUUGACAUUUAGGAGCUCUUUUUUUUCUUUCUAAUUUUGUUGUUGUUGUCGCAGUGGCUAGGCAAGCAUGCAUCAAGAGUUUUCCUCCAACCUAUCCUCUUUCGACAGAGAUUGUUAUUCCGGUCUGGUUGUUCUGGCUACCGUUCAAAAAAUCUUUAAAAAAGGCAUGAUGUAUGCACAAGGUUUUAUAGCCUCAAUCCCUAAUCUCUUUUCUCAAUAAAAUAUUAUAACAAGAUGAACAUGAUGUUGUAGGAAAUUAUUAAACCCUAAACCCUCCGGUAAAAAAUCUCAAACAAAUACUAAAAACAUGUGGUGUACUGUGUGUUUUACAAUCAAAUGAAGAGGUUAAAGUAACUCAUAGACCAUGUUUUUUUUUGUGUAAAGCAAAGGGAGAACUUGUCUCCCACAUUUAUCAAGAAAAAAAAAAUUAAAAACUACAAUCGAACAUCAUCACUCAGGAAUGAAUCCAAUAAUAAGCCGGACAAUAUCAAAACCACAGUAAUCUGGAUGCAACUAACCCGUCUGCGAGUGCUAGUG
rnacentral:lncRNA from 1 species